rnacentral:rRNA from 1 species
CGAAAGCCUGAUGCAGCAACGCCGCGUGAGGGAUGACGGCCUUCGGGUUGUAAACCUCUUUUAGUAAGGAAGAAGCGAAAGUGACGGUACCUGCAGAAAAAGCACCGGCUAACUACGUGCCAGCAGCCGCGGUAAUACGUAGGGUGCAAGCGUUGUCCGGAAUUAUUGGGCGUAAAGAGCUCGUAGGCGGUUUGUCGCGUCUGCUGUGAAAUCCCGAGGCUCAACCUCGGGUCUGCAGUGGGUACGGGCAGACUAGAGUGUGGUAGGGGAGAUUGGAAUUCCUGGUGUAGCGGUGGAAUGCGCAGAUAUCAGGAGGAACACCGAUGGCGAAGGCAGAUCUCUGGGCCAUUACUGACGCUGAGGAGCGAAAGCAUGGGGAGCGAACAGGAUUAGAUACCCUGGUAGUCCAUGCCGUAAACGUUGGGCGCUAGAUGUGGGGACCAUUCCACGGUUUCCGUGUCGUAGCUAACGCAUUAAGCGCCCCGCCUGGGGAGUACGGCCGCAAGGCUAAAACUCAAAGGAAUUGACGGGGGCCCGCACAAGCGGCGGAGCAUGCGGAUUAAUUCGAUGCAACGCGAAGAACCUUACCAAGGCUUGACAUAUACCGGAAACGUUCAGAAAUGUUCGCCCCGCAAGGUCGGUAUACAGGUGGUGCAUGGUUGUCGUCAGCUCGUGUCGUGAGAUGUUGGGUUAAGUCCCGCAACGAGCGCAACCCUCGUCGUAUGUUGCCAGCACGUAAUGGUGGGAACUCAUAUGAGACUGCCGGGGUCAACUCGGAGGAAGGUGGGGAUGACGUCAAAUCAUCAUGCCCCUUAUGUCUUGGGCUUCACGCAUGCUACAAUGGCUGGUACAAUGGGCUGCAAUACCGCGAGGUGGAGCGAAUCCCAAAAAGCCAGUCUCAGUUCGGAUUGGGGUCUGCAACUCGACCCCAUGAAGUCGGAGUCGCUAGUAAUCGCAGAUCAGCAACGCUGC